rnacentral:lncRNA from 1 species
UUUUCAUUAUAGUCAGUCUUACUCAUUUUGUUAUUGUUAUUGUUGUUUUCAUUUUGUACAGCCCAAAUAUAAAGAACCAUCUAUGCAUCAUAAUAGAGAAGUACAUGGGCCCGUGUCAAAACUAGGAGAACAAAUGUUCCAGUGCCCAGAAUGGACAACAUCUGACAAAGAUCACAAGCAGCCAGAGAGGCAGACAGAGAGAGAAGAGGAAGCAGCCAGAGAGCCUGCUAAGCAGAGAGCCUGAUGUGAGGCUCCAUCCCAGGACCCUGGCUGAAGGCAGAGGCUUUAACCCAGUGAGCCACCCACGCACCCCAUCACAGUGAGCAUUCUGAGCACUGCACAGCUUGUAUUCCCUCCGGGGCUUCUCACCUGCCAGAAUGUCCCAUUAGGCCUUUUGACCCUGCCAAGGUUAAGUGACCAACCAACUAUUGCCAAUAUUCCAAGAUCUUCCCACACUUAUCUUUGUCUCACCCCUUAAUAACUUGCAUACAAUAUUUUCUCGGAAACUCGGGAAGCUGCCCCACAACCAGCACAUGCCUUCCCUUUCCCUGCAUCCAUUUCUGCUACUUCAAGUGAAAGAGUACUUCAUUGUCAACGGAUACUAAGCAUCUUGCAUAAUUACUUGUAACUAAACUGUUGCCAUGAUGUCUUGCUUAAAAAAAAAAAAAAAAAAAAAAAAAAAAUUUCCUAUUGCCUGAUCUUGCACCGUCAGCAGUUUUCUUUACGGCGCCGCCGUUCAUUACUGUCCUCGCAUUAAUCCCGUGC